rnacentral:lncRNA from 1 species
CUCAGAUAUCUCCUAUUUCCACUCUCCACGUUCAUCUAUUCCCACAGCUUUCAUUACUGUGUAAAUAGGCUGAUGACUCACAAUGCCUGACCUCCACUGGCAGCUUAAACUACCCAGCUGGGUUUCUGAUUGUAAAAGUAGAAAAUAUAAACUUGAGUUUUUUUAGUAUUAUGACAAUUAUUCAAAGACAACAGAGUUAUUCUUUUUUUUUUUUUUUGAGAUGGAGUCUCAUUCUGUCACCCAGUCUGGAGUGCAGUGGUGUGAUCUCAGCUCACUGCAACCUCCGCCUCCUGGAUUCAAGCAAUUCUCCUGCCUCAGCCUCCCGAGUAGCUGGGACUACAGGUGCGUGCCACCACAUCUGGCUAAUUUUUUGUAUUUUUAGUAGAGACGGGGUUUCACCUGGCCUCUCUAACUCAAUUCAUUCACUUUCUCAGUAAAACUGUAUUUGGCAAAUUGCAAGCAACAUUAGAAGAAAACUUAGAAUUAAGGCAGGGUGUCACAGGUAGGGUUAAGCCAUUUUCACCAAACAUUAUCUACGAGGAAAAGACUAAAGCAAAAUACAAGAACAAAACAAUAACAAAAGCAAAGCAGUACCUAUUAGCUGGUCCACAAAAAGAGGGUGGCAUGCUCACAUUUAAAAAUAGAGAAGAUAUAUCUGGUAACAGCAUCCUGAAGUCUGACAGUUCCAUUUUUCCUCUUACACAACAUACACGCUCACUCACCUCACCAUCUACCUACUCUGUUCCCUGCAGCUCCCAGCUUCUGACACCAACCUGCCUGUCUGCUCACUUACACCUCAACCACAUACCACUCAACCUAAACACUCAAGCCUGCUGUAGACGCACCUGUGUGCAUACGUGUCAGUGAGCCUAUGUAACUGCGGUAUCUGCAUGGCUAGAUAAGGUAACUCGACUUAUAGAAUGGCUACUAUAUUAGGUUCCUAGCACUGCCCUAAGAAAGCAAAGAAGCCAUAAAGCUCUGGAUAGUGAGUAAGCCUCUCUGACUCUUCUUUAUCUUUAGGUAGAAGUGAACAGCCCGAUAUGACCACCCCAAAAG